UUUAGAGCUGAUCGUAUAGUUUGGUUACUUGCAGAUGUGAUUGAAGAUUUCAUGAAGAAUUAAUAUCAGUGUCCCCUUUGGCUGUUGUGGGUGGGCAAGAAACCUCUCUUUUUUUGAGGGGUCGAAAUCUGAAUAUUCCUGGCACCAAGAUUCACUGCACACAUGGUUACUUAUCAAAGGAAGUGCCGGGAUCAGCCUGUCAGGAAACCAUACAUGAUGAGAGAAGCUUGGUCCGUUUUAAAAUUAAUGGGGUGGGUUAUCAAUAUUGGUGAACAUUAUAAAUUUGAUAUGUUUGUUUCUUAAUUUGCAUUAAGAUUAGGGGAGUUGUUAUCUUAUUUGAGUUUUGUAAAGCAUGUAAUACAAGCAAAAUUGU